CCUACGGGGGGCAGCAGUAGGGAAUCUUCCACAAUGGACGAAAGUCUGAUGGAGCAACGCCGCGUGAGUGAUGAAGGGUUUCGGAUCGUAAAACACUGUUGUUAGAGAAGAAUGAGAUUGAGAGUAACUGUUCAGUGCUUGACGGUAUCUUACCAGAAAGCAACGGCUAAAUACGUGCCAGCAGCCGCGGUAAUACGUAUGUUGCAAGCGUUGUCCGGAUUUAUUGGGCGUAAAGCGAGCGCAGACGGUUUUUUAAGUCUGAAGUGAAAGCCCACGGCUUAACUGGGGAGGGGCUUUGGAAACUGGAUGACUUGAGUGCAGAAGAGGAGAGUGGAACUCCAUGUGUAGCGGUGAAAUGCGUAGAUAUAUGGAGGAACACCAGUGGCGAAGGCGGCUCUCUGGACUGUAACUGACGUUGAGGCUCGAAAGCGUGGGUAGCAAACAGGAUUAGAUACCCUAGUAGUC
rnacentral:rRNA from 1 species